UUAAGCGACUAAGCGUACACGGUGGAUGCCCUGGCAGUCAGAGGCGAUGAAGGACGUGCUAAUCUGCGAAAAGCGUCGGUAAGGUGAUAUGAACCGUUACAGCCGGCGAUGUCCGAAUGGGGAAACCCAGUGUGAUUCGUCACACUAUCGUUAACUGAAUACAUAGGUUAACGAGGCGAACCGGGGGAACUGAAACAUCUAAGUACCCCGAGGAAAAGAAAUCAACCGAGAUUCCCCCAGUAGCGGCGAGCGAACGGGGAGCAGCCCAGAGUCUGAAUCAGCUUGUGUGUUAGUGGAACGGUCUGGAAAGUCCGACGGUACAGGGUGAUAGUCCCGUACACCAAAAUGCACAGGUUGUGAACUCGAAGAGUAGGGCGGGACACGUGGUAUCCUGUCUGAAUAUGGGGGGACCAUCCUCCAAGGCUAAAUACUCCUGACUGACCGAUAGUGAACCAGUACCGUGAGGGAAAGGCGAAAAGAACCCCGGCGAGGGGAGUGAAAAAGAACCUGAAACCGUGUACGUACAAGCAGUGGGAGCCUCUUUAUGGGGUGACUGCGUACCUUUUGUAUAAUGGGUCAGCGACUUAUAUUCUGUAGCAAGGUUAACCGUAUAGGGGAGCCGCAGGGAAACCGAGUCUUAACUGGGCGUUAAGUUGCAGGGUAUAGACCCGAAACCCGGUGAUCUAGCCAUGGGCAGGUUGAAGGUUGGGUAACACUAACUGGAGGACCGAACCGACUAAUGUUGAAAAAUUAGCGGAUGACUUGUGGCUGGGGGUGAAAGGCCAAUCAAACCGGGAGAUAGCUGGUUCUCCCCGAAAGCUAUUUAGGUAGCGCCUCGUGAACUCAUCUUCGGGGGUAGAGCACUGUUUCGGCUAGGGGGUCAUCCCGACUUACCAACCCGAUGCAAACUACGAAUACCGAAGAAUGUUAUCACGGGAGACACACGGCGGGUGCUAACGUCCGUCGUGAAGAGGGAAACAACCCAGACCGCCAGCUAAGGUCCCAAAGUCAUGGUUAAGUGGGAAACGAUGUGGGAAGGCCCAGACAGCCAGGAUGUUGGCUUAGAAGCAGCCAUCAUUUAAAGAAAGCGUAAUAGCUCACUGGUCGAGUCGGCCUGCGCGGAAGAUGUAACGGGGCUAAACCAUGCACCGAAGCUGCGGCAGCGACACUAUGUGUUGUUGGGUAGGGGAGCGUUCUGUAAGCCUGUGAAGGUGGCCUGUGAGGGCUGCUGGAGGUAUCAGAAGUGCGAAUGCUGACAUAAGUAACGAUAAAGCGGGUGAAAAGCCCGCUCGCCGGAAGACCAAGGGUUCCUGUCCAACGUUAAUCGGGGCAGGGUGAGUCGACCCCUAAGGCGAGGCCGAAAGGCGUAGUCGAUGGGAAACAGGUUAAUAUUCCUGUACUUGGUGUUACUGCGAAGGGGGGACGGAGAAGGCUAUGUCAUCCGGGCGACGGUUGUCCCGGUUUAAGCAUGUAGGCUGGUUAUCCAGGCAAAUCCGGAUAAUCAAGGCUGAGGUGUGAUGACGAGGUACCACGGUACUGAAGUGACAGAUGCCCUGCUUCCAGGAAAAGCCUCUAAGCAUCAGGUAACAUCAAAUCGUACCCCAAACCGACACAGGUGGUCAGGUAGAGAAUACCAAGGCGCUUGAGAGAACUCGGGUGAAGGAACUAGGCAAAAUGGUGCCGUAACUUCGGGAGAAGGCACGCUGGUGUGUAGGUGAAGUCCCUGCGGACGGAGCUGAGACCAGUCGAAGAUACCAGCUGGCUGCAACUGUUUAUUAAAAACACAGCACUGUGCAAACACGAAAGUGGACGUAUACGGUGUGACGCCUGCCCGGUGCCGGAAGGUUAAUUGAUGGGGUUAUCCGUAAGGAGAAGCUCUUGAUCGAAGCCCCGGUAAACGGCGGCCGUAACUAUAACGGUCCUAAGGUAGCGAAAUUCCUUGUCGGGUAAGUUCCGACCUGCACGAAUGGCGUAAUGAUGGCCAGGCUGUCUCCACCCGAGACUCAGUGAAAUUGAACUCGCUGUGAAGAUGCAGUGUACCCGCGGCAAGACGGAAAGACCCCGUGAACCUUUACUAUAGCUUGACACUGAACAUUGAGCCUUGAUGUGUAGGAUAGGUGGGAGGCUUUGAAGCGUGGACGCCAGUCUGCGUGGAGCCAACCUUGAAAUACCACCCUUUAAUGUUUGAUGUUCUAACGUUGGCCCCUUAUCGGGGUUGCGGACAGUGUCUGGUGGGUAGUUUGACUGGGGCGGUCUCCUCCCAAAGCGUAACGGAGGAGCACGAAGGUUAGCUAAUCCUGGUCGGACAUCAGGAGGUUAGUGCAAUGGCAUAAGCUAGCUUGACUGCGAGCGUGACGGCGCGAGCAGGUGCGAAAGCAGGUCAUAGUGAUCCGGUGGUUCUGAAUGGAAGGGCCAUCGCUCAACGGAUAAAAGGUACUCCGGGGAUAACAGGCUGAUACCGCCCAAGAGUUCAUAUCGACGGCGGUGUUUGGCACCUCGAUGUCGGCUCAUCACAUCCUGGGGCUGAAGUAGGUCCCAAGGGUAUGGCUGUUCGCCAUUUAAAGUGGUACGCGAGCUGGGUUUAGAACGUCGUGAGACAGUUCGGUCCCUAUCUGCCGUGGGCGCUGGAGAAUUGAGGGGGGCUGCUCCUAGUACGAGAGGACCGGAGUGGACGCAUCACUGGUGUUCGGGUUGUCAUGCCAAUGGCACUGCCCGGUAGCUAAAUGCGGAAGAGAUAAGUGCUGAAAGCAUCUAAGCACGAAACUUGCCCCGAGAUGAGUUCUCCCUGAGACUAUAAGUCUCCUGAAGGAACGUUGAAGACGACGACGUUGAUAGGCCGGGUGUGUAAGCGCAGCGAUGCGUUGAGCUAACCGGUACUAAUGAACCGUGAGGCUUAACCU
rnacentral:rRNA from 1 species